AUGAGGGCACAAGCUGUCGUGCUCGCCUACUCGCUGUUGGCGUCCGCGCUGCUGUGCCGGAGAGCCGCGGCCUCGCCGGCGUUCAUCGUCGGGAAGCUCGUCAUGGGCGGGCUGGAGUUACGCCGUCCCGUGAUGGACACCAUGACGGCGAAUCAGUCAACACCACUGCAACUUUCGACGGCGGCGAGCGAUGGAAAUGUGGACGGACUCCAUCCGAACUGGUUGUCUUUGCUCCCGGAAAUAACCUCACCGCUGGACCGGAACCAUCCCUUUGGCGAACAAGGGAUCGUGCUCGAUCACUUGCUCGUGUUUUUGGUGCUCUUUGUUGUGUACAUCUUCCGCUGA
rnacentral:rRNA from 1 species